rnacentral:misc_RNA from 1 species
UCUUUUCUUUUGAUAGGAGAGUUUUUAAAACCAGUGUUAUUUUUGUAAGUUUAAGAGAAGUUUGUGUAUUGAAUUUUUAAUAUUAAAGAGCUUUGUUAAACUUAGACUUAAGUUUAGGUCAUUUUGGGGGUUUAGCUCAGUUGGCUAGAGCAUCGGCUUUGCAAGCCGAGGGUCAAGGGUUCGAGUCCCUUAACCUCCAUUGGGCUUAUGUCCUAAAUUGUAAUUAAGUAUGUUUUUAAGCAACUUUAUUAAAGUAAUUGUUGGAAUGUGAAACAGAGGAAGUUAAAAUUUCUGGGUUAAGUUGAGAUCUGUUGAUAUUAAGAAGAAUCUCUAGAAGCAAAAGCGAGCUUUCGAUAAAACCCGAAGUUGUUUCGCUAAAGUGCAAGGAUUAAACAGGAUUGUAUUUUCCAGUAGCCUAUUUUAUAAACGAUCUGCAUUUAGUAAAUAGUUUUUAGUUAGGAAAUAGUGUAUAUUGCUAAGUGUGAUGUC